CCUGGUGAUUAUGGAGAGAAGGCCAUACCCGUUCCCAUUCCGAACACGGAAGUCAAGCUUCUCAU
rnacentral:rRNA from 1 species